rnacentral:lncRNA from 1 species
UUUUUUUUUUUUUUUUUGUUUACUGAUAUUAAGGGGUAUUAAUUGAUUACUGAUAGUCAGUAACUGAUUAUUGGGGGUCAGUAACCAAGGUAUUGGGGGUUAGGUAAUUGAUUACUGAGAGUCAGUAACUGAUUAUUGGGGGUCAGUAACCAUGUUAUUGGGGGCCAGUAACUGAUUAUUGGGAUCAGUAACCAAGUUAUUACGGGUCAAUAACUGAUUAUUGGGGGUCAGUAACUGAUUAUUGGGGGCCAGUAACUGAUUAUUGGGGUCAGUAACCAAGUUAUUAGGGGUCAGUAACCGAGUUACCGGUGACCGGAGAAAAUCUGAGUAACUACGGGUCAAUAACCGGCGACAGAAGAAAUUCCAACAACUGGUGACCGGUGACCGAUGAUCGGAGUCCGGUGAGGUUCCAGCAAAGUCCUCUCGCUCUUUCAUUUUCUCUCUCCUUAUACAUGUAGAAGUGGUGAGGGUAAAGUUGUCUUAAAAAUAUACAAAAAUUAUUAUUUUAUUAUAACUGUACUAUAGAUUUAUGUAUUUGGACAUAAAUAAGAACACCUUAUAUUGGAAUGGGCUCAUGCCUAUUAAAUUCAUUAGAAUGGGCAAUAAGGGGUUUAAAUUAGUACUAAAUAGACAUUUUCCCUAUAGUUUGAUUUCAACUGCUUUAGAAAUCGGAGACAUUUGAAGGUUGAAAUUUCUUUUUACCUUGAGGACCUAUACUCCUAUUUCAGUUCCAUAUAUCAAGUAAAUUGUUUCCAUCAUCAGAACAUGUUCUGUUCUUUGCAUAGCAAUAUAUUCGGUUCUUGAUCAAAGUCCUCUCUUAUUCUGAGUUCUUCCAUUCUAAGCAAAAUGAAGGUGUCACAAGUGACACUGAGAUUGAGAAUGAACAGCAUCAAGCAUUGUUAAAAUUGUAACAAGAAGGUUCAACGAUGCAGCAACAAACUCCUUUUUGGACAACAAACUCCUUUAUAGUAGACUACACAUUUUUGAACCAUAACAAAAGAUACAGUUAGCACUACUAACCAUUAAUAUUCUCUCAUCCAGAAUUCCAGACUGCGUCAGGCCUUAGCUUCCGCGCAUAUAAACCAUAUACAAAAAUGAAUAAGCGAUGAUCCUCACGUCUUUACCACACUUGGGUGUGUCUCAAUUCCUGUCUGCCAGACAUUGCUAUCCAGACAUUGAAUCGACAGUUAGUUAUUGAACUUCCCCACCUGUAUGUUCCUAAACCCAUAGGAACAGAUCUGCAUCCACUUCAAAAGCUGAAGGAAACAUCAAGUUGCAAAGACAACUGGUGUAGCACCAGGGAUGUUCAAGAUUAUAGAACAACCUUUACAAGAUGUGAACCACUCAAUAUACAAAAAGAACAAAACUUUAGGUUACCAGGUCCUAUGAUAUAAUACAUGUAGUAUAUAAAAGAAGAGCACAAGUGAACUAAACUAUGGAGACAAAAAGAAAAAACAAAGAAAA